rnacentral:rRNA from 1 species
UACGAAGGGGGCUAGCGUUGCUCGGAAUGACUGGGCGUAAAGGGCGCGUAGGCGGUUUGUACAGUCAGGUGUGAAAUUCCCGGGCUCAACCUGGGGGCUGCACUUGAUACGUAUGGACUGGAGUGGGGAAGAGGGUCGUGGAAUUCCCAGUGUAGAGGUGAAAUUCGUAGAUAUUGGGAAGAACACCGAUGGCGAAGGCAGCCAUCUGGACCGACACUGACGCUGAGGCGCGAAAGCGCGGGGAGCAAACAGG